GACGAACGCUGGCGGCGUGCUUAACACAUGCAAGUCGAACGGAAAGGCCCGGCUUUUGUUGCGUGCUCGUUUGGCGAGCGGGUGAGUAACACGUGUGUAACCUGCCCUUGACUUUGUGAUAACUUCACGAAACUGGGGCGCAUACCGGAUAGGAGCUCCUGCUGCAUGGUGGUGGUUGGUAAGUUUCGGCGGUUGGGGAUGGACUCGCGGGUUAUCAGCUGGUUUGUGUGGUAGUGGCUUACCAGGGGUUUGACGGGUAGGCCGCCUGAGAGGGUGACCGGGGACAUUGGUACUGAGAGACGGAGCAGUAUCCUACGGGCGGCAGCAGUGGGGAACCUUGCAGAACGGGGCCACGUGUGAUGCAGAAAUCUCGGGUGCGGGAUGACGGCCUACGGGUGGUAAACCGCUUUCGCCUGUGACGAAGCGUGAGUGACGGUAAUGAGUCAAGAAGCAACGGCUAACUACGUG
rnacentral:rRNA from 1 species